GCCAUCAAUGCAUAUCCCUGGCAAAGAUGUCAUGGGUACAUCAUGUGGUCAAGCAACUUGCUAAAACACACAGAGCAAUUAUGAGAAGUGAACAUGAACACAUCAAAGGCCACAGUUCAGAUGCUGUUGUAUGUUUUCAAGAAGUGUACAUUUUCUCUCUGUUCUGUUUUCAGAUGCAACACUCUUUCACUCUGUGGUUUUUAUUGUGCCCGCUGUGCUGCUCAUACUGGUGAUUGCUCUGGUUCUAGUUUAUAAAAACAAAUGUCACAAAGUGCGAGGAGAUGAAGCUGUCAUCAUGAACAGAAACAAAACCAAGGCAGCAGAGGCAGAGGACGUGAUCGAUCUCCCAGAUAUUUAUGAAAAUCAGGAAGUUGUUGUUGUGCACUCAGAGCACGGGACCUCCAAACCGCAGAAGACCUGUAAUGAUAAGCUUCUGUUAAGCAUUACAUCUCCCAGGUCAGUGCUGUCCUCGUCAAGUUGUUCCUGGUAAGACCUCUGUUACCCUCAUUACAGUUAAGUCUCACAUAUAACUGAGGUUGCGUUCUCAUUUUAGGUUCAUCUCACUUUAUAUUCACCACCACAUUUCUAUCUAAUUUUCUGAUUACAUAUUGUAAAGUAAUCCGCUGCUGCCUGGUAAAGUAGGAUUAAUGCAUUUUGACCUGAUUCGAUGGUUCUUUCUCUCUGCUUUUUUUAG
rnacentral:lncRNA from 15 species